UCCCUGGUGGUCAGUCGGUUAGUACACGCGCCUGUCGUUCAAUGGCGCGUGCGAAAGCUAGGUUCGACUCCCAGACAGGGAG